AGCAAAAAAAGAGUGGUUAGAAUUUCUGGAGACUGCAGCUCCGACAUCUGCACGGCACUAAUUCUUCCAGUCCGUGUGGAUGGGACGAGUUUCCAUUUAUGAGCACAUUAUUCAGCUUCUUCUGGACUUGAGAUGUCCUCAGACAAAAGGGAGGGGGCUCAGCUAAACGCCCUACCCUCCGCUGUGCCUGUCGAUCCUCUCGGUGCCACAGAAGCUCAGGCGAUGCCACUGAUGGUGCUCUCCAGGGAAGAAGUGACUGGAAGCUGGCCCAGUAGCUCUGAGCACCCCUCACAGGCCGUGGGGCCGGGAAAGGCAAAGAACCGCGGUCUGGAAUCGCAGGCCACAGGCGAGGUGGGCUGGGGAGGCCCCGGCUGCGGUCAGUGAUCUCAACACACGACCCACACAUGCGCUGUGGCUUGGAAGUCCAUCUGAGCUCUCACUUGUCCUUGAGCGUGGGCCGCUGCGUCCACAGGAAGGGCUGCUCUCCAGGGUCUGAGCCCAUCUGUUCCCACUUGACACUGAGAUCAGAAAAGUGCGGCCCACAGGAGAAUGAGGCUGCGCCUGCUGCAGCCUGAGGAGCUGGCCAACCGCAGCUGGGACCCCAAACGCUCUGACUCAGCCCAAGUUUGGUUAAAGGUUUGGAGCCACUGGCAUUACUGCAUACAAAAGUCCAUGCUGAGUGCAGAUUCUCAGAUCAAAAACCAAGGAAAAUAAACUUGCUGCCUCUGACCUUGGAGCAGUGACCGCCCCAAGCAGUUCUGAAGUGCUCACGGCUGCAGAAAGCCCAGCUUGACCUGGACAUAAUGACCUCCACUCAGCAAUCCCACACCCAGAGCACGCUGAAGAAACCUUCAGAAACACACACCAUCGUGGACAAAGUGGCUCACGGCAAUGUUAUUUUCAACAGCAAAAUAAACCAGAAAGAAGUUGAAUCUCCAAUAAUAAAGGUUUGUCUAACUGAAUAA